CUAACUACGUGCCAGCAGCCGCGGUAAUACGUAGGGUGCGAGCGUUAAUCGGAAUUACUGGGCGUAAAGCGUGCGCAGGCGGUUGUGCAAGACAGGCGUGAAAUCCCCGGGCUUAACCUGGGAAUGGCGCUUGUGACUGCACGGCUGGAGUGCGGCAGAGGGGGAUGGAAUUCCGCGUGUAGCAGUGAAAUGCGUAGAUAUGCGGAGGAACACCGAUGGCGAAGGCAAUCCCCUGGGCCUGCACUGACGCUCAUGCACGAAAGCGUGGGGAGCAAACAGGAUUAGAUACCCUGGUAGUCCACGCCCUAAACGA
rnacentral:rRNA from 1 species